UUAAAUAAGUUCAUUUGAUUAAGCCCCGCAGCAGAAUUCAUUCUUUGAGACGCUUUCUCCCUUUGAGACGCUUCCGGCAUAUGACCAAACAAAUUCAUUGCCAUUUUCGCUCUAUUACUUAGAGUUGUUUAUACGAAACCUUAGCCUUCGGUCGACGACGCCUCCGCCUCUGGCCAACGACGCCUCCGCCUUCGGUUGACGACGCCUCCACCUCCGGUCUCCAGUCGACGAGACUGACGAAGUCUCCUACUCCGGCCUACAGCCGCUUCUGCCUCCUUCUUUCACGUUGUUUACAGCUGUGAGAGCUGCAGUAUCAGCAUUUCGUAGGGAAGAAGAAUCACAAGUUCACCAUUCAUCUAAAAGAAGAAGAGAGAGAUCAGAUCAGGACAGGGUUAAUUAUGAUGAUUCAAUGUUCAUGGAGACACCACGAGGCAAAGGUCUUCAAUUCCCAUUUUUUGUUGCUGAUCGUGUUAUUAUAAAGUCCAAUAUCUCUCAUUAGCUAAGGUUUCUGAUACUUCAUCAUCACAGCAAACUUCAAGUCUGAGGUUAUACAUUGGAAAUUUACCAUCACAUAUGGAUGAGGUACUAGUGCAAACAACCAAGAGCAGGAGGAUCCGUAUGGUAGAAAGAAAAACCAGAAAAAGAAGUGUUGAUAAACCCAAAACGAAACAUCUUGAAGCAAGGCAUACAAUGGACAGUAAAGAAAAGAAAAAGAGAAGUGUGACAUUGAUCAGAGAUCAUUCCAAAGAAUAUCUAUCAAAUUUAACAGUUGAGUUUGAUCAAUUCGAUAGAGCUAUUGGACCUAACCGCUUUAAGUUCACCAGUUAUCAUGGAGUGACUACGAGGAAGAUGAUUUCUAUCCUUAUAGAUAGUUGGGAUUUAGUGGAUCAAUGUGACAAGGAUCAAUUGUGGUUGAACAUAAAGAAUUAUUGGCAUAUACGAGAUGAUAAUCAUAAAGCACAAGUACUUAGAGAUUGCAACACGCAAUGGAAGGCCUACAAGUCGGCGCUUCUUAAGUUGUGGGAAAAAGGUGUCAAUCCAGUAAAAGAAUACCCGUACCUUGACAAAGCAAUGUGGAAAAAGUUUAUUGUUCUAAAAUCCACGGAAGAAUUUGAGGUUGAACAUCAUCAAUUCCAAUUGAGAAUCUACCGAGCACUGCAUCAAAAUAAUCUCAUCAUACAUUUUCACCAAACAUCUAUUCAGAGCUCACAACUUCUCCUAUAGCAGCAGCCUCACUUGGGAAGGUGUAUAAGGGUAGAUUAAAGGAAAAUGGGGAUUUGGUUGCUGUUAAGGUACAAAGGCCUUAUGUACUUGAAAUAGUAACUGUUGAUUUAUUCAUCAUAAGGAACUUAGGAUUGGCUCUUCGACGUUUUCCUCAGGACCAAAAGAUUCAGAGACUAUUCCAAUCUCAUACGUAUAUAAUCGUUUUAGUGCAAUCAACAAUUGUCCGAUUGGGAGUGUGGUUACUACGUUAUGAACUGGAUGCAUGAGUUUGUACUUUUUCGACAACAUGGAUUUCCGAAUAACAUUUGGAAGGACAAAAAACCAUUUUCUAGUGAGGAAUUGGACGAACGAAUUAAAACAUGGCUGAGAACUUUUGGAGAUAAAGUGAAGUCUUUUUCAAGUUAACGGUUAGUUGUUCUAUAUACAUUGUUAUAAUUGGUUAUGUUUUUCAAAAAACCAUUUUCUAGUGAGGAAUUGGACGAAAGUUUUUUUUAUGGAAAAUGAGAUAUAUAAAAGUAGGAUGCUAUAUUUUGUGUUUUAUUGUGGAAGUUUGCAGAUUUCAAGUUAGGGAGGUUGUUGUUAUGGAGGUACACAAACAUCCCUUGUAUUUCAUGUUGUAUUUGCUCAUAUUUUUUUAUGUUGUGGAGAAGUUUUCACCCUUGCAUUGCUAUAGAUGAAGUUGUUAAUGGCAUGAAUGUCCAAUAAUUUGAGUUUUCUUCAUUAAAAGUUAUUUGAGAUUUUGAAUCCUAAGUUUUCUUGUUUUUGUAGGCAUACACUGAAUUAGCCACAAAGGGUAAAUAGAGGUCAGAGGUGUGACAUUAAUAAAUUUAAGAAUGUUUUUAUGUUUAAUGAACUAGGUAUACAACUUUUAGAUUGUAUAGACUGUAGUCUGAAUUCUGAAAGAAUAUUAAUGUUUUUAUGUUUAAUGAACUAAAUGGUUAUUGUAAUUUUUUUCUGUUUCUUAAAAUGAAAACAUGAUCAAUGAUGUCCCACUUCUUAUGAUUGGAAUGGAAUCAUAUAGUAGGUUUGUAUUUUAUAGAGAUUGAUCAAUUGGUUACAAUUCACAUGGUAAAAGCUUUGCAGAAAUUAAAGAGUUUGUUUCAGUUGGAAUAGUUGGAAUGGUGAUCCAUGUGUUCCGCAGCAUCCAUGGAGUGGAAUUGGCUGAUUAAUAAGGCUGGAAUGCAAAGCCAGAAUGGGCUGGAAAGGCUGCUUGAAAGGCUGGAAUAAGGCUGGAAUGCAAAGCAUCAAGUACGGUUGUUUAUUGGUGUAUUAGAUGUGUAUAUAUGACGUAUUAGAUGAUACUUGAGACAUCAAGUACGGUUGUUUUGGUGUAUUAGAAGUUUAUAUAUGGCGUACUAGAUGAUUGUAUGGGAUGGUAUAGGAUACAUAUAAUACGGUUAAAUAGCCGUACUUUAUUAUGCAUGUAAUCUAAUACACCCCUCUACUAGUACGCCUGCUAUGUACGUACUAUAUUCAUAAUUUCAACCGUACUCUAUUAACCUUUUUCUA